UGGGGAAUUUUGGACAAUUGGGCGAAAGCCUGAUCCAGCAAUGCCGCGUGUGUGAAGAAGGCCUUCGGGUUGUAAAGCACUUUUGUCCGGAAAGAAAUCCUUGGCUCUAAUACAGUCGGGGGAUGACGGUACCGGAAGAAUAAGCACCGGCUAACUACGUGCCAGCAGCCGCGGUAAUACGUAGGGUGCAAGCGUUAAUCGGAAUUACUGGGCGUAAAGCGUGCGCAGGCGGUUUGCUAAGACCGAUGUGAAAUCCCCGGGCUCAACCUGGGAACUGCAUUGGUGACUGGCAGGCUAGAGUAUGGCAGAGGGGGGUAGAAUUCCACGUGUAGCAGUGAAAUGCGUAGAGAUGUGGAGGAAUACCGAUGGCGAAGGCAGCCCCCUGGGCCAAUACUGACGCUCAUGCACGAAAGCGUGGGGGAGCAAACAGGAUUAGAUACCCUGGUAGUCCACGCCCUAAACGAUGUCAACUAGUUGUUGGGGGAUUCAUUUCCUUAGUAACGUAGCUAACGCGUGAAGUUGACCGCCUGGGGAGUACGGUCGCAAGAUUAAAACUCAAAUGAAUUGACGGGGUCAUAGCUGUUUCCU
rnacentral:rRNA from 1 species